AUUGAACGCUGGCGGCAGGCCUAACACAUGCAAGUCGAACGAGUGGCGGACGGGUGAGUAAUGUCUGGGAAACUGCCUGCUGGAGGGGGAUAACUAAUGGAAACGGUAGCUAAUACCGCAUACCAUCAGAUGUGCCCAGAUGGGAUUAGCUUGUUGGUGGGGUAACGGCUCACCAAGGGGGCGAUCCCUAGCUGGUCUGAGCGGAUGAAGCGCCAAACUGGAACUGGGACACGGUCGAGACUCCUACGGGAGGAAGCAGGGGGGAAUAUUGCACAAUGGGCGCAAGCCUGAGGCAGCCAGGCCGCGUGUAUGAAGAAGGCCUUCGGGUUGUAAAGUACUUUCAGCGGGGAGGCGUUACCCGCAGAAGAAGCACCGGCUAACUCCGUGCCAGCCGCCGCGGUAAUUC
rnacentral:rRNA from 1 species